rnacentral:rRNA from 1 species
GAUGAACGCUGGCGGCGUGCCUAAUACAUGCGAGUCGAGCGAACGGACGAGAAGCUUGCUUCUCUGAUGUUAGCGGCGGACGGGUGAGUAACACGUGGAUAACCUACCUAUAAGACUGGGAUAACUUCGGGAAGCCGGAGCUAAUACCGGAUGAUAUUUUGAACCGCAUGGUUCAAAAGUGAAAGACGGUCUUGCUGUCACUUAUAGAUGGAUCCGCGCUGCAUUAGCUAGUUGGUAAGGUAACGGCUUACCAAGGCAACGAUGCAUAGCCGACCUGAGAGGGUGAUCGGCCACACUGGAACUGAGACACGGUCCAGACUCCUACGGGAGGCAGCAGUAGGGAAUCUUCCGCAAUGGGCGAAAGCCUGACGGAGCAACGCCGCGUGAGUGAUGAAGGUCUUCGGAUCGUAAAACUCUGUUAUUAGGGAAGAACAUAUGUGUAAGUAACUGUGCACAUCUUGACGGUACCUAAUCAGAAAGCCACGGCUAACUACGUG